CUUGGUCAUUUAGAGGAAGUAAAAGUCGUAACAAGGUCUCCGUAGGUGAACCUGCGGAGGGAUCAUUACAGAGUUCUUGCCCUUACGGGUAGAUCUCCCACCCUAUGUUAUUAUUACUAUGUUGCUUUGGCGGGACGACUGUGGUUCGCCCCUCCACCGGCCUCGGCUGGUGUGUGCCCGCCAGAGAACCCAAAACCCUGAAUAUUAGUGUCGUCUGAGUACUAUAUAAUAGUUAAAACUUUCAACAACGGAUCUCUUGGUUCUGGCAUCGAUGAAGAACGCAGCGAAAUGCGAUAAGUAAUGUGAAUUGCAGAAUUCAGUGAAUCAUCGAAUCUUUGAACGCACAUUGCGCCCCUUGGUAUUCCGGGGGGCAUGCCUGUUCGAGCGUCAUUACAACCCUCAAGCCUAGCUUGGUAUUGGGCUUCGCCGUUCACACGGCGGGCCUUAAAAUUAGUGGCAGUGCUAUAGUGGCCCUGAGCGUAGUAAAUAUCCUCGCUAUAGGGACAUGGUAGAUACCGGCCAGCAACCCCCAACUUCUAAGUUUGACCUCGGAUCAGGUAGGGAUACCCGCUGAACUUAAGCAUAUCAAUAAGCGGAGGAAAAGAAACCAACAGGGAUUGCCUCAGUAACGGCGAGUGGAGCGGCAACAGCUCAAAUUUGAAAUCUGAUUCUUUUAGAGUCCGAGUUGUAAUUUGUAGAAGAUGCUUUGGGAAUGGUUCCGGUCUAAGUUCCUUGGAACAGGACGUCAUAGAGGGUGAGAAUCCCGUAUGCGACUGGUCGCCUGCCCCGUGUAAAGCUCUUUCGACGAGUCGAGUUGUUUGGGAAUGCAGCUCAAAAUGGGUGGUAAAUUUCAUCUAAAGCUAAAUAUUGGCCAGAGACCGAUAGCGCACAAGUAGAGUGAUCGAAAGAUGAAAAGCACUUUGGAAAGAGAGUUAAACAGUACGUGAAAUUGUUGAAAGGGAAGCGCUUGCAACCAGACUUGCACGUAGUUAAUCAUCUGGUGUUCUCACCGGUGCACUUGGCUAUGUUCAGGCCAGCAUCGGUUCAGGUGGUGGGAUAAAGGCCUUGGGAAUGUAGCUUCUUUCGGGGAGUGUUAUAGCCCUCGGUGCAAUGCCGCCUACCUGGACCGAGGACCGCGCUUCGGCUAGGAUGCUGGCGUAAUGGUUGUAAGCGACCCGUCUUGAAACACGGACC
rnacentral:rRNA from 1 species